CUGAGCUCUGAGUUGUGUGUGACUUCCUCUGUGUAUGUGGGAGGAAGAAGGCUGCUACAUUCGCACCGAGGGGAAAGCAGCAAACAAGGGCCUUGCAGACUCUAUUCCAGAGCCUGGCACCAGGGAAGUUUUGGAACUAAGGUAAUGCUGGCUCAUAAGAGGAAUUUGGAAAGAUUCCUUCUUAACCGAAUUUUUUGAAUUUCUAAUAUCUCUGGAUCUUAACCACUUUUUUCAGAUAAGUAGCCUGUCAACAUUUUAUUCCAUUUUGUUAGAUAUCUCUUCAGUUUAGUCACUGAUUUCUUUGCCGUGUAGUGGCUUCUGAGUCGGAGACAAUUCCUCUGUCUGGUUUUGCUUUCGGUGCCUGUGCUGUUUGAAUCUUAUCCAAGAAACCAUUGCCUGUGUAUGUAAAUGUUUCUUCUAUGUUUUCUUUUAGGAGUUUCACAAUUUCAUGCUUUAUGCUUGGGUCUUUGACCAUCUUGAGCUGUUGAGAGACAAGGAUCUAAUUUCAUUCUUCUUUCUGUUCCUAUCCAAUUUUGCCUUCAUGCUUUGUUAAAAAGACUGUUGUUUUUCCAAUGUUUGUUCUUUGUAUGUUUGUCAAAAUCAGUUGGCUACAUGAACAUGUAUUAAUGUCUGGGUUCUCUGUCUUCUGUUGCAUUGAUUUCUAGAUUCCAGAGUUA